CUGGCUCAGGAUGAACGCUAGCGGCAGGCUUAACACAUGCAAGUCGAGGGGCAGCGGGGAGGAAGCUUGCUUUCUCCGCCGGCGACCGGCGCACGGGUGAGUAACACGUAUGCAACCUGCCCCUGUCAGGGGGACAACCCGCCGAAAGGCGGGCUAAACCCGCGUACAUGCCACCGGGGCAUCCCGGAGGCAGGAAAGGCUUCGGCCGGACAGGGAUGGGCAUGCGGCGCAUUAGGCAGUAGGCGGGGUAACGGCCCACCUAACCGACGAUGCGUAGGGGUUCUGAGAGGAAGGUCCCCCACACUGGUACUGAGACACGGACCAGACUCCUACGGGAGGCAGCAGUGAGGAAUAUUGGUCAAUGGUCGGGAGACUGAACCAGCCAAGCCGCGUGAGGGAUGAAGGUACAGAGUAUCGUAAACCUCUUUUGUCAGGGAACAAAGGCGGGGACGUGUCCCCGGAUGAGUGUACCUGAAGAAAAAGCAUCGGCUAACUCCGUGCCAGCAGCCGCGGUAAUACGGAGGAUGCGAGCGUUAUCCGGAUUUAUUGGGUUUAAAGGGUGCGCAGGCGGUCUGUUAAGUCAGCGGUCAAAGCCCGGGGCUCAACCCCGGCCCGCCGUUGAAACUGGCAGUCUCGAGUUGGAGAGAAGUAUGCGGAAUGCGCGGUGUAGCGGUGAAAUGCAUAGAUAUCGCGCAGAACUCCGAUUGCGAAGGCAGCAUGCUGGCUCCACACUGACGCUGAGGCACGAAAGCGUGGGUAUCGAACAGGAUUAGAUACCCUGGUAGUCCACGCAGUAAACGAUGAAUGCUGGCUGUCCGGGGGGGAUUGACCCCUGGGUGGCGAAGCGAAAGCGAUAAGCAUUCCACCUGGGGAGUACGCCGGCAACGGUGAAACUCAAAGGAAUUGACGGGGGCCCGCACAAGCGGAGGAACAUGUGGUUUAAUUCGAUGAUACGCGAGGAACCUUACCCGGGCUCAAACGGGGAGUGACUCAGGCAGAGACGCCUGUUUCCCACGGGACACUCCCCGAGGUGCUGCAUGGUUGUCGUCAGCUCGUGCCGUGAGGUGUCGGCUUAAGUGCCAUAACGAGCGCAACCCCCGCGUGCAGUUGCUAACAGAUAACGCUGAGGACUCUGCACGGACUGCCGGCGCAAGCCGCGAGGAAGGCGGGGAUGACGUCAAAUCAGCACGGCCCUUACGUCCGGGGCGACACACGUGUUACAAUGGGUGGUACAGCGGGAAGCCAGGCGGCGACGCCGAGCGGAACCCGAAAUCCACUCUCAGUUCGGAUCGGAGUCUGCAACCCGACUCCGUGAAGCUGGAUUCGCUAGUAAUCGCGCAUCAGCCAUGGCGCGGUGAAUACGUUCCCGGGCCUUGUACACACCGCCCGUCAAGCCAUGGGAGCCGAGGGCGCUUGAAGUGCGUCGCCGCGAGGCGCGCCCUAGAGCGAAAUCGGUGACUGGGGCUAAGUCGUAACAAGGUAGCCG
rnacentral:rRNA from 1 species